AUCGAACGCUGGCGGCAUGCCUUACACAUGCAAGUCGAACGGCAGCACGGGAGCAAUCCUGGUGGCGAGUGGCGAACGGGUGAGUAAAGCAUCGGAACGUGCCCAGUCGUGGGGGAUAACGUAGCGAAAGCUACGCUAAUACCGCAUACGAUCUGUGGAUGAAAGCGGGGGACCGUAAGGCAUCGCGGCAUUGGAGCGGCCGAUGUCAGAUUAGGUAGUUGGUGAGGUAAAGGCUCACCAAGCCGACGAUCUGUAGCUGGUCUGAGAGGACGACCAGCCACACUGGGACUGAGACACGGCCCAGACUCCUACGGGAGGCAGCAGUGGGGAAUUUUGGACAAUGGGCGCAAGCCUGAUCCAGCAAUGCCGCGUGCAGGAUGAAGGCCUUCGGGUUGUAAACUGCUUUUGUACGGAGCGAAACGGCUCUCACUAAUACUGGGGGCUAAUGACGGUACCGUAAGAAUAAGCACCGGCUAACUACGUGCCAGCCGCCGCAGUAAUAC
rnacentral:rRNA from 1 species